UAACCUUUUCCUUUUUUUUGCUCCAUAUUGCAGAAAAAUUGGAAUCUAUUUAGUGUAAAUGUUGCAAUGGCUGCAACAGGCAUCUACCAACUCAGUCGCAAGAUACAGCACGAUUACUUUUCUGAGGAAGAAGCUGCUGUUGCAAAGGAAUAAUGAUGAAAACCUGCUGUUCUCUUUGAUCCUCCUGUAAUGAAGUCAUUCUUCCUUCUUGCAAGGCUUUGGAUAGUUAUGAUUUGAAUAUGGCAAUUGUUGUUGUGCUUUUCAAGCUAAAGUGUUCACCUAUGCUCAUUUCCCCUUUAGUUAAUAAUUUGCAGUUCAUCACGUCGAUCAAGAUUGUUGUUGUGCUUUUCAAGCUACAAGUGUUCACCGUGCUCAUUCCCCUUGAGUUAAUAAUUUGCAGUUUAUAACAGUGUGAACCACUGUAAAAUUUCACUUAGUAAAUGGCUUUCGAAUCUUCCAUUUU